rnacentral:lncRNA from 1 species
AUUUCCCUUCAGCUUGUACUCAAGCUGAGCCACCUAGCUUCCUGGAAAGAGCCUGAGUCAUUGCUGCCAGAUGAAUCUCCUAUACUUUUUUUUGAGAUCGGAUCACACCCUAUAGUUCAUGCUGGGAUUACAGGUGUAAACCACCACAGCCAGCUUCCCCGCUGCCUCCACACGCUCUGUUUGGCGGGAGAUCUUCUAUUUAUACAAUUGGUGAGCCGAAGCUCUGCUUGAGACUUGAGAUCAGAGCUCUCAUGGCUGGCAGCAGCUGGACAGAAGUAAAACAGCAUUCCUGUCCUUUGACCCAAUGAUCCCACUUACAGGAACUCCACCACUUUUAGACAGCCUGCUUUCCCCUCCCUUGUGGGUUGCAGGCUUUCCCUAGACCACCUCUCCUUGGGCUGCCACUCUCAGCACAUGGCUACACACUAGCAGCUGCAGCUGUCCUCAGCCAGGUUGUACACCACCUGUAUUCUCUGAUCAGAAGUGCUAUGCAGCUUUAAGCCCCACCAUCUUCCUUGGAAGAUUUGAAAGAAAAGAGGAGCCAGGAGGUGGUGGCACACGCCUUUAAUCCCAGUACUCGGGAAGCAGAGGCAGGCGGAUCUCCGUGAGUUCAAGACCAGCCUGGUCUACAAGAGCUAGUUCCAGGACAGCCUCCAAAGCCACAGAGAAACCCUGUCUUGAAAAAACAAACAAACAAACAAACAAACAAACAAAAAAGAGAAGAUGAUGGGGGUGUCCUUCUGAAUACAUGUUUCCCUUAUUGGUUGAUGAGUAAAGCUGUUGCAGCCAAUAGACAGGUUCUCCUAAAGAUGCUGUCAUCCCCAGACAGCAGGAAGUAAAAUUAAGAAUAUGAUGUCCAUAUUCCCAAGAGGCAGACAUGUUUGCUCCUGACAGCACCAAUCUACUUCAGAGAAGAUGAUGGGCAUUGAAGAAAUGCCACAUGGAGUUUACUUUCUUUGUGGCAAAGGUUAGCCACUGGGAGACAAAGUGGGCAAGAAAGUGUUCUUGCCUCUACUGAUGAUAGUGUGCUGUCCAAAUUGGACUAGCAG